CAGCAGAGAAUUUGCUAUUCGAAAUGCCAAACACAUUGCAAAGAUAUUCUUUGAAGAGGAAAAGAUGUUAGAUUUAUGGGAUUUUAUUUCUUCUCCUCCUCCACCUCCUUGUUUGGAGAGAUCAUAGUUUUCAGCUGUGAGUUUAGGGGAAGGUGAUUUUCCUGCAUUUAGUCUCCUCCUCAUUCUAUACACGACUACCAACAGGAGAAACGAAUAUCAGAAUCUAAUCAAAUAUACCAACCAGGUACUUUGUUCCUUAAUAUGAUGUAGAACACACGACCGGAGAUGGGAUGUAAUUGCCGGCGGUAACAUUAAACAAGCCACUACUCACGGUGGUAAGUGACGCGGAGGUGGUGGAAGUGACUGUUUUCUGAAAAAGAAGGACUUGAC
rnacentral:misc_RNA from 1 species